rnacentral:tRNA from 1 species
GGCUUUGAAGUAUAAUAAUAAUACAUUGAAUUGCAAAUUCAAAAAAGUAGUUGAAUAUCUCUACCAAAGUCUAAGUGUUAAC